GUAUUUUGAUUAUUUGAUCAAAAAUUUCAGACAAAUAUUCAAGGCUAUGUUGGAGAGAAAAAAACUCUGGCAGACUUUUGUACUCCUGGAAAUUUUCCAGGAGAGCCUGCCAAAGCAUGGUUCAAUAAGUGCACAUAUGGUGUAUUGAUCAUGGCUGCCGGAAACUCAACCAAACCCCCCCAAGGGAGGGGGGACAUGAGAGAGAAACCGGCAUGACCCUGUAAUGAUCCUUCCGCAGGUUCACCUACGGAAA
rnacentral:misc_RNA from 1 species